UAACACGUGGGUGAUCUGCCUCGCACUCUGGGAUAAGCCUGGGAAACUGGGUCUAAUACCGGAUAUGACCACGGAUCGCAUGGUUUGUGGUGGAAAGAUUUAUCGGUGCGAGAUGGGCCCGCGGCCUAUCAGCUUGUUGGUGGGGUAAUGGCCUACCAAGGCGACGACGGGUAGCCGACCUGAGAGGGUGACCGGCCACACUGGGACUGAGACACGGCCCAGACUCCUACGGGAGGCAGCAGUGGGGAAUAUUGCACAAUGGGCGAAAGCCUGAUGCAGCGACGCCGCGUGAGGGAUGACGGCCUUCGGGUUGUAAACCUCUUUCGACAGGGACGAAGCGCAAGUGACGGUACCUGUAGAAGAAGCACCGGCCAACUACGUGCCAGCAGCCGCGGUAAUACGUAGGGUGCGAGCGUUGUCCGGAAUUACUGGGCGUAAAGAGCUUGUAGGCGGUUCGUCGCGUCGAUUGUGAAAACUUGCAGCUCAACUGCAAGCUUGCAGUCGAUACGGGCGGACUAGAGUACUUCAG
rnacentral:rRNA from 1 species